rnacentral:lncRNA from 1 species
CAGCGGGGCGGGACCGGCGGCCAGGGGAGUAGCGUGGACGACCUCCCGGAAGCGGCAGUGCGCCCUCGGGAACCGGGGAUCUGGCUGUGAGGCGGCGUGGCGCGGGGCGGGAACCUAGUGGCCACGGAACGGCGCCGUGGGUACACUCCGGGGUUUCUGUGCAUUAGGCUUGUGCAAGAAACUAACGGGGUAAAAGUGUGACCUCGCCACUCAGAACAGCCAGGUUUCUGGUUCAAGGAUGAGAAGCAGGGAGUGGACCGAGUAUUCAAAUAAGUGUCCGACCCAGGUUGGAAUCCCUGCUCUGAUGCCUGGCACGACUCUCCUCUUCACACCCUUCACCUUUUGAAUCUCCGUUUCCCCCUCUCUGGGAUAAGAAGAAUUUUUAUUUAGAAUUGAGCCAAGAGAUGGCUCACAAGCGGAGGCAGGAAAUCAAGAGCCACCCUAGACUUUAAUGGUCCUCGACUCCUUGGGUGUCAGGUUUCUCAGAUCUGACCUGAAUCACUCACUGACCCUGCUUCCAACAGGUGCUUUACAAAG